AACGAACGCUGGCGGCAUGCCUAACACAUGCAAGUCGAACGGGAUCCUAGCUUGCUAGGUGAGAGUGGCGGACGGGUGAGUAACACGUGGGAAUCUGCCUUUGGUUCGGGAUAACCGCGGGAAACUGCGGCUAAUACCGAAUGCCCUCGAGAGAGGAAAGAUUUAUCGCCAGAAGAGGAGCCCGCGUCCGAUUAGGUAGUUGGUGGGGUAAAGGCCUACCAAGCCGACGAUCGGUAGCUGGUCUGAGAGGAUGAUCAGCCACACUGGGACUGAGACACGGUCCAGACUCCUACGGGAGGCAGCAGUGGGGAAUCUUGCGCAAUGGGCGAAAGCCUGACGCAGCGACGCCGCGUGAGUGAUGAAGGCCUGUGUAGA
rnacentral:rRNA from 1 species